AUCAGGAGGACUGAAACUGUAAACACAAGCUGGUAUUUUGGUGUGAUCACGCUAAUAUGGCGGUUUGUGAGGUCAAGGGGUGGAAGGUGAAUUAUGGAUCCAGAAUUUCCUUGCUUUUGUCAGUUUAAGUCAGGCUGCUUGCGAGUAGCUGCUUUUCAAACUUGAAUAACUCAGCUAUUUUAAAGCAAUGGAGACCUACCUUAAAUAAUUAGAGGGGCUACACUGGAGAAGUGUCUUCCCAGGAAAGUAGUGGAGGCUCCAUUCUGCAGAACCUUUAAAAUUAGACCAUGAAAGGCAUGUAACAGCCUCGUUCUCAACAUAACCAUGAGUUGUUCACAGCAUAAAGUGUUGGGUAAAACAACCCAAGGUCUUUAUAAAACUUCUCAUCUCAAUGGAAAACCAUUUAGGUGGCUUGUUUUAUUAUUAGAAGUUCACUUAACAAAAAAAUGGAAAAUAGUUUAUUUAACUGUCCAGUGUACCCUAAAAAGAAAUGAACCAAGUUUCAGACAGAACUCGGAAUACUUCUCCCACUUUGCUGUUGAGGAAAAAAUUAUCUUUGUUGUUUAGUUACAGGCAGUAUGAUAAGGAACAAUCUGAAUGACACGUAAACAGGAGGGGGUAAAUUCCAAGCACAGCCUGAAUGAGAAGUACAACUCAUUUCCUGUAACCUAGAUGCCUUUUUAACACAUCUAUGCAGUCUCCAUGUGAAACCAGGUGCUGUUCCCAAAGGAGAAAACACUGCCCUCCAGUGGUCUUCAAUGAAGAAAUGGAAAUAGUUUCAGGUGGAAACCAGGCUUCUUGGAAGACUUCAAACUAUGCCAAAUGGUCUGAUUUCACCAUAGAGAAUGUUAUACUAUUAAUUGCCAAUUUGCAUAUGUGUGCAGCUGCUGUUUUGGCUCUGAACUCAAUCCGAUAAGCUUGCUGGAGGUAUCGCAGAGCACUUGGCAGCUUUCCUAUUUGAAAAGAAAGCCUCUCCCCUCUACAGAACAGCUGAUCGUCUAUCAGCGAUAGACCCUGAUG
rnacentral:lncRNA from 10 species